AUAUGUGCAAGUUAUUGGGAGAUAAACCUAAUAGCGUAAUUAACUUGACUAAUAAUGGGAUUAGUUUUUUAACUAUUUAUAGAUAAUUAACACAAUCCCGGGGCGUUCUAUAUAGUUAUGUAUAAUAAUAUUUAUAUUAUUUAUGCCUCUAACUGGAACGUACCUUGAGCAUAUAUGCUGUGACCCGAAAGAUGGUGAACUAUACUUGAUCAGGUUGAAGUCAGGGGAAACCCUGAUGGAAGACCGAAACAGUUCUGACGUGCAAAUCGAUUGUCAGAAUUGAGUAUAGGGGCGAAAGACCAAUCGAACCAUCUAGUAGCUGGUUCCUUCCGAAGUUUCCCUCAGGAUAGCUGGUGCAUUUUAAUGUUAUAUAAAAUAAUCUUAUCUGGUAAAGCGAAUGAUUAGAGGCCUUAGGGUCGAAACGAUCUUAACAUAUUCUCAAACUUUAAAUGGGUAAGAACCUUAACUUUCUUGAUAUGAAGUUUAAGGUUAUGAUAUAAUGUUCCCAGUGGGCCACCUUUGGUAAGCAGAACUGGCGCUGUGGGAUGAACCAAAUGUAAUGUUACGGUGCCCAAAUUAACAACUCAUGCAGAAACCAUGAAAGGCGUUGGUUGCUUAAAACAGCAGGACGGUGAUCAUGGAAGUCGAAAUCCGCUAAGGAGUGUGUAACAACUCACCUGCCGAAGCAACUAGCCCUUAAAAUGGAUGACGCUUAAGUUGUAUACCUAUUCAUUACCGCUAAAGUAGAUGAUUUAUAUUACUUGUGAUAUAAAUUUUGAAACUUUAGUGAGUAGGAAGGUACAAUGGUAUGCGUAGAAGUGUUUGGCGUAAGCCUUCAUGGAGCUGCCAUUGGCACAGAUCUUGGUGGUAGUAGCAAAUAAUCGAAUGAGACCUUGGAGGACUGAAGUGGAGAAGGGUUUCGUGUGAACAGUGGUUGAUCACGAGUUAGUCGGUCCUAAGUUCAAGGCGAAAGCCGAAAAUUUUCAAGUACAAAAUCAGUGAGUAAUAUUGUCAAAUCUUUUAUGAUUUUUAAAUACUUGAAUAAUUUUGAACGAAAGGGAAUACGGUUCCAAUUCCGUAACCUGUUGAGUAUCCGUUUGUUAUUAAAUAUGGGCCUCGUGCUCAUAGAUGGUAGAUGGGCUAGAAGAGCAUGACAUAUACUGUUGUGUCGAUAUGUCUCCUCGGACCUUGAAAAUUUAUGGUGGGGACACGCAAACUUCUCAACAGGCCGUACCAAUAUCCGCAGCUGGUCUCCAAGGUGAAGAGUCUCUAGUCGAUAGAAUAAUGUAGGUAAGGGAAGUCGGCAAAUUAGAUCCGUAACUUCGGGAUAAGGAUUGGCUCUGAAGAUUGAGAUAGUCGGGCUUGAUUGGGAAACGAUAACACGGUUUAUGUGCUCGUUCUGGGUAAAUAGAGUUUCUAUCAUUUAUGGUAGUUACUUGUUCCCCGGAUAGUUUAGUUACGUAGCCAAUUGUGGAACUUUCUUGCUACAAUUUUUAAGAAUACUAAUUGGGUUAAACCAGUUAGUUCUUAUUAAUUAUAACGAUUAUCAAUUAACAAUCAAUUCAGAACUGGCACGGACUUGGGGAAUCCGACUGUCUAAUUAAAACAAAGCAUUGUGAUGGCCCUAGCGGGUGUUGACACAAUGUGAUUUCUGCCCAGUGCUCUGAAUGUCAAAGUGAAGAAAUUCAAGCAAGCGCGGGUCAACGGCGGGAGUAACUAUGACUCUCUUAAAUGCCCUACCAUCGAGGUCUCGUACCACGAGGGGCAGAAAUGAAUUGGAACGGCAAUGUCGUGCAGGUUGUGAUGCUCCCGAAACAACAAACCACAUCCUGCAGAAUUGUUACCGUACGCAUGGGAGGCGGGUAGCAAGACAUAACUGUGUAGUCAAUAACCUUAAGAGGAUUCUUGAGGAGAAGGGCCACACAGUGCACGUCGAACCAAGUUUGCAGCUGGAAACCUCGGUAAGUAAACCAGACCUGGUGUGUAUCCGUGACAAUCACGCUUGCGUGAUUGAUGUGCAGAUUAUAACGGAUGGACUGUUUCUCGACGAUGUGCACCAUCGCAAAGUUGAGAAAUAUAAAAGACCGGAAGUUAUAUCUGCACUGCGGAGAGAAUUCGGAGUGUCGGGCAACGUCGAAGUCCUAUCCGCGACGUUAAACUGGCGUGGGAUCUGGAGCAAUCAAUCCGUUAGAAGAUUGAUAGCAAAGGGUCUCAUCUCAUCCGGUGACAGCAAUGUCAUUAGCGCCAGAGUGGUAACAGGCGGACUAUAUUGCUUCAGACAGUUCAUGUAUCUCGCAGGUUACACUCGAGAUUGGACUUAGCCUAUACACUAUGUUGGAGAGAAGACGCUUGCUACCUAGGCAUAAUGUGAAAUUAGGUAUAAACAUCGUGGUUGUAAAACUUGAGGUGGGUUUUUAGUACGUAUGCGUGAUUACUUCGUAAUCAUGAAUCGUGCAUGCUAGUGGGGUUUGGCCUCCACUAGUAUCUUUGAAGAUUUUCCUUCCUAAGCGAUAAAAAAAAAAAAAAAAAAAUAGCCAAAUGCCUCGUCAUCUAAUUAGUGACGCGCAUGAAUGGAUUAAUGAGAUUCCUACUUGCGGCGCAGAACGCGAGGAUUGGAAGCACUUCCUAUGU
rnacentral:ncRNA from 1 species